rnacentral:lncRNA from 1 species
GGGCUGCUGCAACAGACACAGCAGGGCCCCAUCCAGCUGCUGGAAGAUGCUGAGCAUGAGCAGGGUCUGGCGGAGAUCAGGGGACAGGCUCCACUGCUCCUCUUCCAGCAACUCCCUGACCACUCCAAAGUCUUGUUUGAGCUGCAGCGCUCCCUGCAGGCUGUACCAGGACAGAGACGAAGCCGCCAGUACCGACCCCGUGGCAUGUAGAGCUUGAAACCUUGCAUGGCUUGUUUAUGACAUUCUUGA